rnacentral:rRNA from 1 species
UACGAAGGGUGCUAGCGUUGCUCGGAAUCACUGGGCGUAAAGGGUGCGUAGGCGGGUCUUUAAGUCAGGGGUGAAAUCCUGGAGCUCAACUCCAGAACUGCCUUUGAUACUGAGGAUCUUGAGUUCGGGAGAGGUGAGUGGAACUGCGAGUGUAGAGGUGAAAUUCGUAGAUAUUCGCAAGAACACCAGUGGCGAAGGCGGCUUACUGGUCUGGUUCUGACGCUGAGGCGCGAAAGCGUGGGGAGCAAACAGG